AUUGAACGCUGGCGGCAUGCCUUACACAUGCAAGUCGAACGGUAACAGGUCUUCUGAUGCUGUCGAGUGGCGAAGGGGGGAGUAAUACAUCGGAACGUGCCCAGACGUGGGGGAUAACGAGGCGAAAGCUUUGCUAAUACCUCAUACGAGCUAAGGAUGAAAGCAGGGGACCGCAAGGACUUGCGCGUUUGGAGCGGCCGAUGGCAGAUUAGGUCGUUGGUGGGAUAAAAGCUUACCAAGCCGACGAUCUGUAGCUGGUCUGAGAGGACGACCAGCCACACUGGGACUGAGACACGGCCCAGACUCCUACGGGAGGCAGCAGUGGGGAAUUUUGGACAAAGGGCGAAAGCCUGAUCCAGCAAUGCCGCGUGCAGGAUGAAGGCCUUCGGGUUGUAAACUGCUUUUGUACGGAACGAAAAGGCUCUGGCUAAUACCUGGGGCACAUGACGGUACCGUAAGAAUAAGCACCGGCUAACUACGUG
rnacentral:rRNA from 1 species